CUCCAAUGAUGAUCCAGCCAUGCUAAUACUGAUGCACCAGGUAGACACAGUUUGUCUGCCUGGGUGCAAGUGAGUUCAACUCACCUUCUCACACUGAUGUUAUCAGUGUGUGCUGAGGAGA
ensembl:snoRNA